GACGAACGCUGGCGGCGUGCUUAACACAUGCAAGUCGAGCGGUAAGGCUCCUUCGGGAGUACACGAGCGGCGAACGGGUGAGUAACACGUGAGUAAUCUGCCCCGCACUUCGGGAUAAGCGCCGGAAACGGCGUCUAAUACCGAAUACGACCAGCCUUCGCAUGAGGUGCUGGUGGAAAGUCUUAUCGGUGCGGGAUGUGCUCGCGGCCUAUGAGCUUGUUGGUGAGGUAACGGCUCACCAAGGCUUCGACGGGUAGCCGGCCUGAGAGGGUGACCGGCCACACUGGGACUGAGACACGGCCCAGACUCCCACGGGAGGCAGCAGUGGGGAAUAUUGGACAAUGGGCGAAAGCCUGAUCCAGCAACGCCGCGUGAGGGAUGACGGCCUUCGGGUUGUAAACCUCUUUCAGUAUCGACGAAGCGCCUUUAACGGUGGUGACGGUAGAUACAGAAGAAGGACCGGCCAACUACGUGCCAGCAGCCGCCGCAG
rnacentral:rRNA from 1 species